GUGGGUAGUUUGACUGGGGCGGUCUCCUCCUAAAGAGUAACGGAGGAGCACGAAGGUUGGCUAAUCCUGGUCGGACAUCAGGAGGUUAGUGCAAUGGCAUAAGCCAGCUUGACUGCGAGCGUGACGGCGCGAGCAGGUGCGAAAGCAGGUCAUAGUGAUCCGGUGGUUCUGAAUGGAAGGGCCAUCGCUCAACGGAUAAAAGGUACUCCGGGGAUAACAGGCUGAUACCGCCCAAGAGUUCAUAUCGACGGCGGUGUUUGGCACCUCGAUGUCGGCU
rnacentral:rRNA from 1 species